AAGUCGUAACAAGGUUUCCGUAGGUGAACCUGCGGAAGGAUCAUUAACACGUAUCCACGUUUAAUCACUCUGUGUAUUCGUUGUAGCAUCAAUCAAUCAAUCCGGCCUACUGCAUGCAGUAGUAUGAUUGAUUGAUUGAUGCUACUCAUCAUCAUCAUCAUCAUACUACCUGUCAUGACUAUGUCAAUACAGGCAGUGUGAGUGGAGGAUGGAUGGAGGUUGAGAGAAUUCUCUCUCAUUCCUCUUGUCUCUCCUCGUUUCUUAUUCCACCCUUCAAUCCACCCUAAUGUUAGUAGAUUCUUCUAAAUGUCGUCGUCGUCGUCGGCAAAUGAAAUUUGAUUUCUUUUGUCGCUCAGCGUGCGUACGUUCAUUUCAUUGCUAAAUCAAUGAACACAACUACAACUCUUAGCCAUGGAUGUCUAGGUUCUC
rnacentral:misc_RNA from 1 species